GCAGCGUUAUCCGGAAUCAUUGGGCGUAAAGCGCCUGUAGGUUGUUUAUUAAGUCUGUUGUUAAAGACUAGGGCUUAACCCUAGAAAAGCAAUGGAAACUAAUAGACUAGAGUAUGGCAGGGGUAGAGGGAAUUUCUAGUGUAGCGGUGAAAUGCGUAGAUAUUAGAAAGAACACCGGUGGCGAAAGCGCUCUACUGGACCAUUACUGACACUCAGAGGCGAAAGCUAGGGUAGCAAAAGGGAUUAGAUACCCCUGUAGUCCUAGCCGUAAACGAUGGAUACUAGAUGUUGUGCAUUAAGUACAGUAUCCUAGCUAACGCGUUAAGUAUCCCGCCUGGGGAGUACGCUCGCAAGGGUGAAACUCAAAGGAAUUGACGGGGGCCCGCACAAGCGGUGGAGCAUGUGGUUUAAUUCGAUGCAACGCGAAGAACCUUACCAGGGCUUGACAUACUACGAAUUCUUUUGAAAGAGAGAAGUGCCUUCGGGAAUGUAGAUACAGGUGGUGCAUGGCUGUCGUCAGCUCGUGUCGUGAGAUGUUGGGUUAAGUCCCGCAACGAGCGCAACCCUUAUUUUUAGUUACCAAUUCGUUGGGUUUUUUAGAAAGACUGCCGGUGACAAACCGGAGGAAGGUGAGGAUGACGUCAAGUCAGCAUGCCCCUUAUGUCCUGGGCUACACACGUGCUACAAUGGUUAAGACAAAGAGUUGCGAGCUUGUAAAAGUCAGCUAAUCUCAUAA
rnacentral:rRNA from 1 species